rnacentral:lncRNA from 1 species
GGAAAGGAGCGACUUAUGCCUGCAGAUUCCCAAGAUUAACUGGCGUUCUGUAGGUCGGCACAAAGUCGUGGCUUUGCCAUCUGACGGAGGACGCGCAGCGGUCGUCUCUGGCUGGGUAGACUGAGACCUGAACGCUGAGGGACUUAGGACCAGCAGUGCCGUCCAGGCCUGGCUGCAGACGGAAACUACUUCAAGAUAAGCUCCACCAAAAAUAGAGAGGAAAUCAAGAAGAUUAAGACGCAGGAUCCAGCGCAACGCUCCAGCACAGGAGAGACCAAAAGAACGUUUGACAAUCCACUGACUUCCUAGAAAACAGAAGAGUGGGCUGGGCAUGGUGGCUCACGCCUGUAAUCCCAGCACUCUGGGAGGCUGAGGUGGGUGGAUUACCUGAGAUCAGGAAUUCGGGACCAGCCUGGAGAAACCCCGUCUCUAAAAAUACAAAAAUUAGCCGAACGUGAUGGCGCACGCCUUGUAGUCCCAGCUACUCAAGAGACUGAGGCAGGAGAAUGGCGUGAACCCGGGAAGCAGAGGUUGUAGUCAGCCAAGAUCGCGCCACUGCACUCCAGCGUGGGAGACAGAGCGAGAGUCCGUCUCAAAAAAAAGAAAAAAAAAAAAAAAGAAACAAAGUUUAGCUUUCCCAUGCCCCCACCCCCCGCACCGUUGCCCGCCGCCCCCCCCCCCCCCCCCCGCCCCAUUCAUUCUUUCAAGCUGGGCCCAGGGCAACAUUAAAAAACAAACCUGUAAUCAGUAUUUAUAUGAUAUGGCAUUUUGUGUAUUCAUCUCAGCUGAGUCAGUUGUAUAUCAUGGUUAAUUACCAUUAUUUUACAACUUUGGAAAGCCCCUCAUCUUCCCGCUCCCGGAUGGACCACGAGUUCUCCAGGCCCCUGUAUGGCUAUGGACCAAGACUUCUUUCAUGAUGACCUUGGGAACUGCUUUCGUCUCUCCUACUUUGGGUUCCCUAUUUCCCCGAGUCAAUGCCAUCUUUUUCUGGGUUUACUCCUUCAGUUGUAGCGAGUUAAAGACUGAAUGGAGAUGAGGGAGGUGGAAAGUAAGUACAGCCUCUUCUUCCGAGACAUCUGCUUAGGAAGAGAGGGAAGGAGCCUCAUGAGGAUGUAUUUAGAAGUAUGGAGGCAGAGACCAGCAGCAGGCCAGCUAAAAAGUUAAAAGUAGUUCCCGCGGGGGAGGUGUGCAGCUGGGGACUGUUGUUUCUCAAUUAUGGGGCUGUGGUGCCAAUAAACCUCGCAUGAGUAGCAACUCAGCAGGCCCAGGAUACGUGUUGGAAGGGGAAUGAGGGAAGGGGCAAUUCUCCAGGCAGCAGGGAGAGCGUGAGCAGAAGUCACUGCCAACACUCCCACCACAGGA